rnacentral:rRNA from 1 species
UUUUAUGAGAGUUUGAUCCUGGCUCAGGACGAACGCUGGCGGCGUGCCUAAUACAUGCAAGUCGAACGCUUCUUUUUCCACCGGAGCUUGCUCCACCGGAAAAAGAGGAGUGGCGAACGGGUGAGUAACACGUGGGUAACCUGCCCAUCAGAAGGGGAUAACACUUGGAAACAGGUGCUAAUACCGUAUAACAAUCGAAACCGCAUGGUUUUGAUUUGAAAGGCGCUUUCGGGUGUCGCUGAUGGAUGGACCCGCGGUGCAUUAGCUAGUUGGUGAGGUAACGGCUCACCAAGGCCACGAUGCAUAGCCGACCUGAGAGGGUGAUCGGCCACAUUGGGACUGAGACACGGCCCAAACUCCUACGGGAGGCAGCAGUAGGGAAUCUUCGGCAAUGGACGAAAGUCUGACCGAGCAACGCCGCGUGAGUGAAGAAGGUUUUCGGAUCGUAAAACUCUGUUGUUAGAGAAGAACAAGGAUGAGAGUAACUGUUCAUCCCUUGACGGUAUCUAACCAGAAAGCCACGGCUAACUACGUGCCAGCAGCCGCGGUAAUACGUAGGUGGCAAGCGUUGUCCGGAUUUAUUGGGCGUAAAGCGAGCGCAGGCGGUUUCUUAAGUCUGAUGUGAAAGCCCCCGGCUCAACCGGGGAGGGUCAUUGGAAACUGGGAGACUUGAGUGCAGAAGAGGAGAGUGGAAUUCCAUGUGUAGCGGUGAAAUGCGUAGAUAUAUGGAGGAACACCAGUGGCGAAGGCGGCUCUCUGGUCUGUAACUGACGCUGAGGCUCGAAAGCGUGGGGAGCAAACAGGAUUAGAUACCCUGGUAGUCCACGCCGUAAACGAUGAGUGCUAAGUGUUGGAGGGUUUCCGCCCUUCAGUGCUGCAGCUAACGCAUUAAGCACUCCGCCUGGGGAGUACGACCGCAAGGUUGAAACUCAAAGGAAUUGACGGGGGCCCGCACAAGCGGUGGAGCAUGUGGUU